rnacentral:rRNA from 1 species
UACGUAGGGUGCGAGCGUUGUCCGGAAUUAUUGGGCGUAAAGAGCUUGUAGGCGGUCUGUCGCGUCGAAUGUGAAAACCCGGGGCUCAACUCCGGGCUUGCAUUCGAUACGGGCAGGCUAGAGUUCGGUAGGGGAGUCUGGAAUUCCUGGUGUAGCGGUGAAAUGCGCAGAUAUCAGGAGGGACACCGGUGGCGAAGGCGGGACUCUGGGCCGAUACUGACGCUGAGGAGCGAAAGCGUGGGGAGCGAACAGG